GCGCACGGCGUUGGUUCCCUUGGCGCGCUCGGUGCACAGACUCAGUGGAAAGUCAUUAAACCAUUAAAGGAAAUUUGUUUAUAAAAGGAAGACGACACUGAGGUGUUGAGGAAGCCUGUUUAUUAACACUGUCACCUCUUAUAAUAGACGAUUCGAGAUGGACAGCCACUCACUUCUUCAUCUCUUUAACAGUCACUGUCCUACAUUAAUCCUUUGAGCAGAACGAGGGUCAGCGCACCCGUGCCAAUACAGAAAGGACAUCAUCUAUUUGCGCAACAAGUCUUUUUUUCUGUAGGUGAUUUUUUGCCGACUGAAAUAUCUGAUGAAGUACGAAAACGACACUGAGAUGUAGCUCUGUAUUAUCAGCUUCUUCGUUUGUGAUGCCAAUAAAGAGAACCAAGAAAAGAGAACAAUCGAUGCGCGUUUUUCCGCAUUUAUUUCAUUUCAGACAAUGUCGCCUUAACAGGAAACUGAACAUUCUGUGAGCACGUAAGGAAGCGCCUGAGGCAGAGGAGGCCCUUACUGAAGGACUACAGACAGUCAUUUGAAACAGCAGAAAACAAAGUGAGUGCCUAUGCAUCCAGACUCUCGGCCUUGCCUCGACGCUUUCCGCUGUGUUUACUCACUUGUUUGUUCGGUCGCUAACGUGAAAAUCAGCAACAGCCACAACAACAAGUGGAUUGGAUCCAUGGCUGCCUCAUUUUUCUUUGGUAAUUGCUGAUCGGAACAAAAGCUUUGCGUGUCUUCAAACUGUUUGCAAAGGAAAUAAUGACGGCGG
ensembl:lncRNA